UACGUGAUAAAUCAGUUUAUUGUUUUCUUUUCCUUUCAGGAUAUUAUUCGUUCAUGAGUGAGUCGUUCUAUUUUACGUGGAAAUAAUCAAUUCUAUAAAACAAACUAAUAAGGUCGAAUGAUGUAAAACCUAUUUGGAAAGGUUAUAUGUGGAUCGAGAAUUAAGAGAACAACAAUGUUAUCUCGUGGUGAUUGAAGAUUAGCUCUAUCUGGAAAGUGAGUCGUGUUCCACCUUUGUUUUUAUCCUGUCCUGGAUGCAUGGAUAGAAUGACCCUGAUUCAUGAAGGUUAAACUUGCCUUUCUUUGAAGCUGAUAGAUAUGGGGAAGAAAGCUCCUAGAUCUCAUUUGAGGAUCUGGAACCUUUGUGCCUGUAAAUGAAAAGAAAAUACCAAAAAGCAGCAGAUAAAUCAAUUAAUUGAAAAAUGAGAUAUGCUAGAUAAAUUCUUGUAAUUUGCAACCCAUCCUCACGGCUUAAACUGAGGGUGUUACUCAACGCAAGAUACAAGACUCUUUUUCACAGACCUUUUCUGGUUAUUGGAAAUGACCUUAUUGAAUAAGGCAUGGCAUUAUUUCCUCACUCCCUGAUUUAUUUUUUCUUCUUCUAUAUGGAUCCCAGAUAUCUACAGGGGUUUUUAGAAUCCAUAAAAGAUGAUGAGAGAGGACAAGACAGGACCUUAGGAAAAAGAUUCAAUCUUAUCAAAAGUUUGGAAAGCAUAGGCAGUCAGUUAUUCAUGAAAAAGAAAAGAAACGUAACCCUUGGUAAGUCUUAUGAUUGAUAUUAAAGUUAAUGCAUUCUUCAUUAAAAGCAGCAAUUGAGGUAACUUAUACCCGUUUGUUUCGUCAAAAUGAAGUAGAGUAAAACUUAUUUAAAUAAAUAUACUCGAUUCUGGGUGUGGAUUUAAUGUAAAUCAAUACUUUAAUCCUCAAUCUGAAACGGAACAGCGUUUUUCAUUUGAUUUUAUCUUUUAAAUGAAUGUCACUGCUUUCACUUAAUGUAUCCUCUUUUUGCUUUUACAGGGCUCAAUCAUAUUUAAAAAAUGACAAAAGAUUGUAUGGUUACGAAAUGAAAAAAUUGAUGAAAAGGAUGAAUCUAUGUAUCAAUGAUCUUCUCAGGAAUUGUUUUUCAGACGGUAAAUUUUAUUGCUUUUAAAAAUGUUAGUCUGUUUUUUGUUUUGUUUUUAAAAACAUGAUGUAUAACCUAUUCUGCUUGAAUCCAGUAUUCAAUCCAUGAAAGCAAAAAAUGUGAUUUAAUGAGACUGAAAUAUUUUUAUGUAAAUACCUAUUAGUUAAUACGUGAUAAACACGUGAUAAAUCAGUUUAUUGUUUUCUUUUCCUUUCAGGAUAUUAUUCGUUCAUGAGUGAGUCGUUCUAUUUUACGUGGAAAUAAUCAAUUCUAUAAAACAAACUAAUAAGGUCGAAUGAUGUAAAACCUAUUUGGAAAGGUUAUAUGUGGAUCGAGAAUUAAGAGAACAACAAUGUUAUCUCGUGGUGAUUGAAGAUUAGCUCUAUCUGGAAAGGUAGAGAUGUGAUGGAAAAUAUACAUUGAUGUUUCUGGAAAUGGGGAUUACGAUAUUAUUCUGUCUUCAUUAAAAGGAAGAGGAAGGUAAAAAGCUGUCUGUAGAAAAGGGCUUGGUUGAUUUGAUUAGGUCUACAUCAAGGAUUGAUGUAUUCCAUUUUGUUAAAAAAAAGUUUUUUUUUUUGUCUCAUCAAGUUAAAAGAAUUUUAUACUCCACCCUUCCCUAUCCCAUUUCAUCUCGGAAUACUACACAUCUUAGGAGAUUAUUCACGUAUGGUGAUUGCUUUGUCGGAUCUAUCUUUUGUUGAAACUGAGUAUUUUCAUGAGGGAAUGAAAAUGCUAAACUGGGAUAGUAAAUAAAUUGAGUGAGUCGUGUUCCACCUUUGUUUUUAUCCUGUCCUGGAUGCAUGGAUAGAAUGACCCUGAUUCAUGAAGGUUAAACUUGCCUUUCUUUGAAGCUGAUAGAUAUGGGGAAGAAAGCUCCUAGAUCUCAUUUGAGGAUCUGGAACCUUUGUGCCUGUAAAUGAAAAGAAAAUACCAAAAAGCAGCAGAUAAAUCAAUUGACUCUUUUUCACAGACCUUUUCUGGUUAUUGGAAAUGACCUUAUUGAAUAAGGCAUGGCAUUAUUUCCUCACUCCCUGAUUUAUUUUUUCUUCUUCUAUAUGGAUCCCAGAUAUCUACAGGGGUUUUUAGAAUCCAUAAAAGAUGAUGAGAGAGGACAAGACAGGACCUUAGGAAAAAGAUUCAAUCUUAUCAAAAGUUUGGAAAGCAUAGGCAGUCAGUUAUUCAUGAAAAAGAAAAGAAACGUAACCCUUGGGCUCAAUCAUAUUUAAAAAAUGACAAAAGAUUGUAUGGUUACGAAAUGAAAAAAUUGAUGAAAAGGAUGAAUCUAUGUAUCAAUGAUCUUCUCAGGAAUUGUUUUUCAGACGGAUAUUAUUCGUUCAUGAGUGAGUCGUUCUAUUUUACGUGGAAAUAAUCAAUUCUAUAAAACAAACUAAUAAGGUCGAAUGAUGUAAAACCUAUUUGGAAAGGUUAUAUGUGGAUCGAGAAUUAAGAGAACAACAAUGUUAUCUCGUGGUGAUUGAAGAUUAGCUCUAUCUGGAAAGGUAGAGAUGUGAUGGAAAAUAUACAUUGAUGUUUCUGGAAAUGGGGAUUACGAUAUUAUUCUGUCUUCAUUAAAAGGAAGAGGGUAAGGGUUCAAAUAUACAAAUAAUUUCACAAUGUAAUACAAAAAAUUAUAGAAAAUAAAAGAAUAGUUUAAAACCACUUAA
rnacentral:lncRNA from 1 species